rnacentral:rRNA from 1 species
GCAAGUCGAGCGAUGAAGUUUCCUUCGGGAAACGGAUUAGCGGCGGACGGGUGAGUAACACGUGGGUAACCUGCCUCAUAGAGUGGAAUAGCCUUCCGAAAGGAAGAUUAAUACCGCAUAACGUUGAAAGAUGGCAUCAUCAUUCAACCAAAGGAGCAAUCCGCUAUGAGAUGGACCCGCGGCGCAUUAGCUAGUUGGUGGGGUAACGGCCUACCAAGGCGACUAUGCGUAGCCCACCUGAGAGGGUGAUCGGCCACAUUGGGACUGAGACACGGCCCAGACUCCUACGGGAGGCAGCAGUGGGGAAUAUUGCACAAUGGGGGAAACCCUGAUGCAGCAACGCCGCGUGAGUGAUGAAGGUUUUCGGAUCGUAAAGCUCUGUCUUUGGGGAAGAUAAUGACGGUACCCAAGGAGGAAGCCACGGCUAACUACGUGCCAGCAGCCGCGGUAAUACGUAGGUGGCGAGCGUUAUCCGGAUUUACUGGGCGUAAAGGGAGCGUAGGCGGAUGAUUAAGUGGGAUGUGAAAUACCCGGGCUCAACUUGGGUGCUGCAUUCCAAACUGGUUAUCUAGAGUGCAGGAGAGGAGAGUGGAAUUCCUAGUGUAGCGGUGAAAUGCGUAGAGAUUAGGAAGAACACCAGUGGCGAAGGCGACUCUCUGGACUGUAACUGACGCUGAGGCUCGAAAGCGUGGGGAGCAAACAGGAUUAGAUACCCUGGUAGUCCACGCCGUACACGAUGAAUACUAGGUGUGGGGGUUUCAACACCUCCGUGCCGCCGCUAACGCAUUAAGUAUUCCGCCUGGGGAGUACGGUCGCAAGAUUAAAACUCAGAGGAAUUGACGGGGACCCGCACAAGUAGCGGAGCAUGUGGUUUAAUUCGAAGCAACGCGAAGAACCUUACCUACACUUGACAUCCCUUGCAUUACUCUUAAUCGAGGAAAUCUCUUCGGGGACAGGUGACAGGUGGUGCAUGGUUGUCGUCAGCUCGUGUCGUGAGAUGUUGGGUUAAGUCCCGCAACGAGCGCAACCCUUGUCGUUGUUACUACCAUUAAGUUGAGGACUCUAGCGAGACUGCCUGGUUAACCAGGAGGAAGGUGGGGAUGACGUCAAUCAUCACGCCCUUAUUGUAGGGCUACCACCUGCUACAAGGGUGGGACAGAAGAUGCAUACCGCGGGGGGGGCCAAAUUAAAAACGCUUUCUUUCGGAUGUGGGCGAACCCCCCACUGAAGCGGGGUUAAAUAAUCCCAAAAAAAA